rnacentral:rRNA from 1 species
CUGCUGCCUUCCGUAGGUGUCUGGACCGUGUCUCAGUUCCAGUGUGGCCGGACAUCCUCUCAGACCGGCUACCCGUCAUCGCCUUGGUGAGCCGUUACCUCACCAACUAACUAAUAGGCCGCGAGCCCAUCCCCAAGCGCAUUGCUGCUUUAAUCUUUCGAUACUAUGCGGUAUUAAUCCCAGUUUCCCAGGGCCUAUCCCGCUCUCGGGGGCAGGUUACUCACGUGUUACUCACCCGUGCGCCACUAGAGAAA